rnacentral:rRNA from 1 species
CGUGUAGGCGGCCAGGCAGGUCCGCUGUGAAAACUCGAGGCUCAACCUCGAGAGGUCGGUGGAAACCGUCUGGCUAGGGUCCGGAAGAGGAGAGUGGAAUUCCCGGUGUAGCGGUGAAAUGCGCAGAUAUCGGGAAGAACACCCGUGGCGAAGGCGGCUCUCUGGGACGGUACUGACGCUGAGACGCGAAAGCGUGGGGAGCGAACA